UUGUUUUUUUUCCUGUGAACAUUACACAUUAUACACAUCUGUCCUAUGUUGCCUUUAUUUGCUGAUAUUUUUUUAUUUCAAAUUGAGGAAAGAUUGCUUGUUAAUAUAAUUUUACAAUAACUUAUUUCACUGUGCGAGUUUUUAUUUGGGCUGAAUAUAGAUUACGUGCUGCAGACAUAUGGAGGAGCAUUUUGAGACAUUAGGAAGCCAUCGUAAACUUAAUUUGUUUCGGUGAUUCAUUUCAAAGGGUGAUGCUGAUAUAAAUUCAAAACUAUAUAAAACUACAAGUGUAGAACAUAUCAAAUGUUCAUUUCUAGUGAUUUCUAUGUUUUUGAAACUAGCAAAAACCCAAAAUGCACUUCCUCAGGAAAUGUGAAUGAUCUAUAAUGUGGAUAUUAAUAUGUAACUUUAAUAGCCUGCAGAAUAUUGUGGUGACUAGAUGGUUGUUAAACAGAUGAUCCCAUCCGACCCUGCAUUGGAGGUGUAGACCUGGUUGCAUCCAAGAUGGCACUGCAUGAUAACAGGAUGAUAUGCCAUUACUAAAAGUUACAAUCUUGAUUACGAUAAAUCCGCAUUUUCUUAACAAUUCCACAAUGUUCCCACUGUUUUCUGAGAGUUUCAACAUCUCAGCCAUUAACCAGUCAUUCAGUGAAGGCUUCAGUUGGUGUCCAUUUAAAUAAUCAUAUUUUACUGAGGUCAGAUGAUCAAUAAUGUUCGAUACAUUUAGCAGCUCUAGCUCAAGUAUAUUAAUGGAAAGUUGAGUGGAAGGAAAAGGUUUAAUACAAAGUGGCGUGCGUACCACAGUUGGAGUCAUUGACUUAGGAGCCAACACACAGAGACGUAUCUGGGACAUGGGCUACAGCUCGUACCUUCCUCUUGUUAAGCCUCUACUGAACCCGAGACAACAUGAAAAGUGAUUAAGCAGAAAGGUUAGACUUUUGCUCUAUUGUGAAAAGUUUUUUUUUCUUCCAGAUGAAAGGACAUUUUAUGUUUAUUGGAAAAAAAAUCAAGAACCCAGAAUCUGAAGAAAGAGUGGGGAGGCAAAGAUUUAAGCAAGUUUACACUUUCCAGUGAUUUGUAGAGCCGUGACGUUCUCUGGCAUUGGUCCUCUGUUGUUUUAUUUUAUUUUUUUUAAUUCCAAAAUCAACAUAGUUGUCUACCAGGAUUUCCAACCACUUCACGUUUCCUUCUGCUCUCAAGCAUUAUAGAGGUGGAUGCUUUCUUUUUAUUGCCGUCAAAGCAAAAGGUUUCAACGUCUGCUUUGACGACUGUGGUGUUACUGUGAUGGACUGACCAGCAAACUCACCUGUAUUAUUGUCAAGAGGAAGCUGAGAGACACCAGAACCAACCAAUCGGAUGAACUGAAGGCUGAGAUAAAGCAACCUGGACUUCCUGAACACCUCAGCAGAGCCAGCAGCUGAUCUCAUCCAUGAAGCCACGAACAACUGAUGGAAAAACUUCAUGCACAGCUUCUUUUCAAUGUCUGCUUUAAAGCCUGAUGGUGUAGGCGAAACCACGCUGUCAACCGGAGGAAAUCCUGGACUGUGGAAGUCCUUCGUGACGGAGGAAGUUCUUCCUCAUCAGGUCUGGGCUCAUCAGAGUUCGGUGUGAGAAAGGCAGAGAGGUGGGCUUUGUUUUUGUAUCCGUCACAGUUGGUCAAAGAAGGUUGGCCGGAUAACAUUACGUUUAUACCUACAGAUUUAUUAAACAGGGUUUAUAAAAUCCUGGAAUGGAAAAAGAUAACCAUAUAGAUUAUUUCUGUAUCCUGCAAGGAAAGCUUGGUAAAAACGAAUUUACAUUCUUUACAGUGUUUUUCAUAAAUUCCACUGUAUGCCAACAGUAAGAGGAAUCUCUGGUGUAUAACAUUCAAACCUUUUAGUGGUCUCCACAGUGGGCAGCGACUCAAAAGCCGCUCUCUCUUUGAGCGUGGGUGCUGAUGUCAUACUUUUAAGUGACCCGUUUAACAGUCCCUACACUGCCACCUUCUGGGCAACUUGUGUAAAAUCAUACAGACGUUCCUUAAAACCUGCAUACCUGGCAGCCACUCAGAGCUGCUGAACACUCAGGAACAUUUUGCCAGUCCUGUACUGCACAGGACUAAUUACAAAUAAAACAAAUUGUGUGGAAAAUCGCAAUGAAUAAACUGCCCAGCUAAGCGAGCAUAAUGCGUCACUAGCUGUAUUUUAUACUGUGACUAAAUACCAUAUUUUCGCUGUUUGGGUAGAAAUGUUCACUUGGUUUAAUAGGGGAGGAUAGUGGAUGGUCUGAAGAUUAAACCAGGAGCUGAAUGAGGAAAGAAUAAAGCCAAGAUGUUAGGAACAAGUUAAUUUAUUUCCCUUUUUUUCCCCAAAACAUCAAACAAUAUUAGUAUCAAACGGUGGUAUCGCUUAUCAUUAGACAUUAAACGUUUAAAAGGCAUGUUGUUCACCUGAUUGGACAUGUGAAACUACAAGGUACCUAAAAAUAGGAAUUUUUAGGGAGUGGGGAAUAGUGGGAUAAACUUUAUUUUGUAGAAAUUAAGUAAGUAAAGAAUCCUGCAUGAGAUCAUCACAGUUCACGUAUAUAUGAUUCAGACGUUCAUCCACUGUAUAAGAAAUGCAGUUUUUAAAACUGUGACGAACGAUAGGAAAUGGAUAGAUAUUUAAAAGUCAAUUGGCACGAAUUUACUCUUGGUUUUCGGUCUAAGAUUACAAACAGUACAAACUGCCCCCUGGUGGACUAAAGUGGAACCUGCAUGUCAUGCAGGAACUCGGAGCAGGGAAGAGAGACUGCUGGUCUGCACAUUUUAAGGUCCAAGUUUGUAUCCAAACAGGACAACUGUUGGGAGGUUCUGACCGUAUUCUGGUUCCUGUCCCGACAAAAGGAAGUCAGCCGGGUUGAGCUGCUGUGAGCCUGGCUCCACAGGAUGUGAGCUGGCUGGGCCAGAGCCAAACACACUCAGGCCAAACUUAGAGCUACACAGUUUUGUGUUGUCAAAGCUACAUAAAAAUGUGUGUGUGUGUGUGUGUGUUUUAAUCAUAUCCAUGUGGGAGACUUAUAAACAAAAUGUCGUUUUAAUGUAGUGUCCUUGGCCUCGCAGAAUAAGCUGAGACACAUAAAGCAACAACGUGACCUUUUAUUUUGCUCAAACCACUGUAUUUUAUAGCAAAAUAUAUGAAAAUGAAGCAAAAAAUACAUGAGCAUUCUAAUAUUGCUCAUGUAUUUUUUCUGUGCUUCCUCCCCCGAUUCCAGGCGAAACAGAUAUGCACUUUGAUAUGCUAUAAAAAGCAAACACUUGUUGCAUAACGACAACAGUGCUAACUGCAGGAGUCAGCUGAGAUGUCUGUUGAGCAAUAACCAGCAUAGCAACCUGAAUGUGGAGCUUCACAACUCAAACUUGCACAUCUGCAUAGAGUCAGACUGCUGAUAACAAACACUCUGUUGUAUUGCUAUAGCCUCCAGACAGUCAGCACCUGGAGAGCCUUUCCCUGAAGCAAGAAUAAGACCUCUGUGAAUUUGCAGCAGUCUUUUUCUGAUUCAGUAAGCUGGUGAGAUCAGACGAGUCACAGUGACUCGGACUAGGACCAUACAGCUAGUUUCGUCGAAUGAGCAAUAUUGUGGAAAACUACCAUGAUAAUCGAGGCAAGAUUAAAGUAUAUACCUUUAGUUAGUUUCUAUCGGGGUUUAUUUCCCGGUUGAUCUGCCGGCAAUUUGCAAAAGUGUGUAUAGUCAUUGAACUUUUCCAUAAUGUCAGGAAUUAAUGCAGUAGAGCAUUAGUAAACAAACAACUUGAAGAAUGUGGAUCACAGCGGGCAGGUCAGUGAUGAAGAUGUUGCUAUGAGGUUAUAAAAGAAUAUCCCUGGCUUUGUUCGCUAUAUCAUCUGAGAACGGAAGGAGUACAACACAAAAACAAAUCUCCCAAGACAUGGCCGUCCACCUAAGCUGACCGUUCCGGCCUGGGGAGCUUAAGCCUCGGUAACUUUGGAGGAGCUGAGGAGAUCUGUAGUUCAGGUGAGAGGAUCUUUUGACAUGAUGGUCAUAAAACUACUGCAAUCUAACAAACUUUUUUCCAGCACCUUUUUAAUUAUUUCAAUUUUAUUCAUUUUUUUCACCGGUUUACCUCUUGGGCAGGUUUUCCUCCAAAAAGAAGUUUUAUCUUAAGGGACUUCCUGUUAUAACAACGGUCAAAAAAAAAUAAAGUGAUAGGAAAACAUACUGGAGUUUUUGGUUGACAUGCAGCAGCUUAUUAGGCACACAAUCCUAACCUGAAAGCAUCCUCCCCAUGCUGAAACGUGACGGUGGCGGUAUUGUGUUGUGUAGAAGCUUUGUUCAGGAGAAACGGAAACCAGUCAAAUUGAAGCACGCCACAGUUUUAAGGCUUUAGUUGUUAAAGGUUUUGAAAACCAUGUGUACCUUUCCUUCCAGUUCAGUUAUCCACUACUUUUUUUUGUUGGUUUAUAACAAAGCCCUUACAAAUGCAUUGUGAUAUCUUCAGUGUCACUAGCGAGGCAUGUUUGGAUUCCCCCCAUGGAGCUCCGAAACCCAAUUAGAGCUGAGCCAAAGAUGCGUGAUGAGUGGAUAAAUCUUGACUUACAUCUUUGAUUUUUACAGAAUAUACUGGUGUUACUGACACCGACUGAAGAAAUGGAAAACGAAUGAGCAGUUCUAGUAAUUUAUAUCUUAAAUUUAAGACACCAGCUCCC